rnacentral:rRNA from 1 species
GAUGAACGCUAGCGGCAGGCUUAACACAUGCAAGUCGAGGGGUAGAAGGAGCUUGCUCCUUUGAGACCGGCGCACGGGUGCGUAACGCGUAUGCAAUCUACCUUUUGCAGAGGGAUAGCCCAGAGAAAUUUGGAUUAAUACCUCAUAGUAUGUGAGGAUGGCAUCAUUUUCACAUUAAAGUCACAACGGCAAAAGAUGAGCAUGCGUCCCAUUAGCUAGUUGGUAAGGUAACGGCUUACCAAGGCUACGAUGGGUAGGGGUCCUGAGAGGGAGAUCCCCCCACACUGGUACUGAGACACGGACCAGACUCCUACGGGAGGCAGCAGUGAGGAAUAUUGGACAAUGGGCGCAAGCCUGAUCCAGCCAUGCCGCGUGCAGGAUGACGGUCCUAUGGAUUGUAAACUGCUUUUUG